rnacentral:rRNA from 1 species
UACGAAGGGUGCAAGCGUUACUCGGAAUCACUGGGCGUAAAGCGUGCGUAGGCGGUUCGUUAAGUCUGCUGUGAAAGCCCUGGGCUCAACCUGGGAACUGCAGUGGAUACUGGCGGACUAGAGUGUGAUAGAGGAUGGUGGAAUUCCCGGUGUAGCGGUGAAAUGCGUAGAGAUGUGGAGGAAUACCGAUGGCGAAGGCAGCCCCCUGGGAUAACACUGACGCUCAUGCACGAAAGCGUGGGGAGCAAACAGG